UGAUAGCUGUGAAGCGUGAGGUUGCUGCAGGCCAUGCAGGUGUUCCGUGGAGCGAAUGUCAAGUUAGAAAAACUGGCGACAA
rnacentral:ncRNA from 1 species